AAAAAAGAUAAAGUCAAUUGAUAAAAAAUGGAACAAAAAGAAGAAUAAUAAUAAAAAUAAAAGAGAUGGAAAAAAGGUGUGAUUCUUGUGAAUGUGAGAAUGAGAAAGAAACGAAAAAUAGCAUCGGAAAGAACAAUUAAGUCUUCUUGAAACAUAAUAUUUAUUACAAUUUUUUUUACUAUUUCAGUUGACUUAAAAUUCCACACAAAUAUAAGAUAUCUUUUUAAUUUGCGUGUAUAUAUAUAUAUAUA
rnacentral:misc_RNA from 1 species